UACGAAGGGGGCUAGCGUUGCUCGGAAUGACUGGGCGUAAAGGGCGCGUAGGCGGUUUGUACAGUCAGAUGUGAAAUUCCCGGGCUCAACCUGGGGGCUGCAUUUGAUACGUGCGGACUUGAGUGGGGAAGAGGGUCGUGGAAUUCCCAGUGUAGAGGUGAAAUUCGUAGAUAUUGGGAAGAACACCGGUGGCGAAGGCGGCGACCUGGUCCUUGACUGACGCUGAGGCGCGAAAGCGUGGGGAGCAAACAGG
rnacentral:rRNA from 1 species